GUUACAGGGUCAGGGUAAGGUCAGUGAUGUUAUAGGGUAAGGGUAAGGUCAGUGAUGUUACAGGGUAAGGUCAGUGAUGUUACAGGGUCAGGGUAAGGUCAGUGAUGUU